rnacentral:tRNA from 1 species
GGGGCUGUAGCUCAGUGUCAGAGUGUUUGUCUGGUGUACACAAAACCCUGGGUUUGAGCCCUAGCACCA